rnacentral:rRNA from 1 species
UAAGGAAUAUUGCUCAAUGGGAGAAAUCCUGAAGCAGCAACGCCGCGUGGAGGAUGAAGGGUCUAUGACUUGUAAACUCCUGUAAAGAAGGAAAAAAUUCCCAUUAGAUGGGAGAUGAUGGUACUUCUGGAGUAAGCCCCGGCUAACUACGUGCCAGCAGCCGCGGUAAUACGUAGGGGGCAAGCGUUGUCCGGAUUUACUGGGUGUAAAGGGUGCUCAGGCGGAUUUGUAAGUCAGAGGUGAAAUCUUACAGCUUAACUGUGAAACUGCCUUUGAUACUGCAAGCCUAGAGUAUGGAAGAGAGUGAUGGAAUAUCUGGUGUAGCAGUGAAAUGCGUAGAUAUCAGAUAGAACACCUAUGGCGAAGGCAGUCACUUGGUCCAUUACUGACGCUAAAGCACGAAAGCGUGGGUAGCAAACA